rnacentral:lncRNA from 1 species
AGGACUUCCACGCACACCAACAGAGAGAACUAAGACAGCAAAGCAACGGACACAUACAGCCCAAAAGGGUUAGUGACCCCCGCGGAGGCGGAGCACCAGGUGAAGGGUGGAUUCCUUCUGAAUGUUGUAAUCUGCCAGGGUGCGCCCGUCCUCCAGCUGCUUCCCAGCAAAGAUCAGCCUCUGCUGAUCCGGUGGAAUCCCCUCCUUGUCCUGGAUCUUUGCCUUGACAUUAUCAAUCGUGUCCGAACUCUCCACCUCCAAGGUAAUGGUCUUCCCUGUGAGCGUCUUAACAAAGAUCUGCAUGCCACCCCUAAGUCUCAGCACAAGGUGAAGGGUAGACUCCUUCUGAAUGUUGUAAUCUGCCAGGGUGCGGCCAUCCUCAAGCUGCUUGCCAGCAAAGAUGAGCCUUUGCUGGUCCGGGGGAAUACCCUCCUUGUCCUGAAUCUUGGCCUUUAC